rfam:Picea glauca, whole genome shotgun sequence.
UUUACCCUGGGUACCAUCCUUGAAAUGAGGGGAAGUGCCUGGUGGGUUUCCCCAGGCUCUA